rnacentral:rRNA from 1 species
UUACAUAUGUAAUAUCGGUCAAAGGAGCAAUUCGCUUUGGGAUGAGUCCGCGGUCUAUUAGCUUGUUGGUGAGGUAAGAGCUCACCAAGGCGACGAUAGAUAGCCGGCUUGAGAGAGUGAUCGGCCACAUUGGGACUGCGACACGGCCCAGACUCCUACGGGAGGCUGCAGCUAAGAAUCUUAGGCAAUGGGCGAAAGCCUGACCUAGCGACGCCGCGUGGAUGAUGAAGGCCUUUUAGGUUGUAAAAUCCUUUUCUACAGGAAGAAUGGCUGUGCAAAAUCAGUUUGACGGUACUGUAGGAAUAAGCCCCGGCUAAUUACGUGCCAGCAGCCGCGGCAAUACGUGAGGGGCGAGCGUUGUUCGGAUUUAUUGGGCGUAAAGGGUGCGUAGGCGGAAGUGUAAGUUGGAUGUGCAAUCCCGAGGCUCAACCACGGAACUGCGUCCAAAACUACACUUCUAGAGUGCAGGAGGGGAGAUCGGAAUUCCUGGUGUAGGAAAAUCUUUAGAUAUCAGGAAGAACACCGGCGGCGAAGGCGGAUCUCUGGCCUGCAACUGACGCUGAGGCACGAAAGCCAGGGGAGCAAACGGGAUUAGAUACCCCGGUAGUCCUGGCUGUAAACGUUGUAUACUAGGUGUAUGAGGCAUCGAUCCCUCAUGUGCCAAAGCUAACGCAUUAAGUAUACCGCCUGGAGAGUAUGCACGCAAGUGUGAAAUUCAAAGGAAUUGACGGGGGCCCGCACAAGCGGUGGAGCAUGUGGUUCAAUUCGAUGAUACGCGAGGAACCUUACCAGGGUUUGACAUUUACUGGACCCCCCGAGAGAUCGGGGUUCUCUUCGGAGUUAGUGAACAGGUGCUGCAUGGCUGUCGUCAGCUCGUGUCGUGAGAUGUUGGGUUAAGUCCCGCAACGAGCGCAACCCCUAUCCUCUGUUGCCAGCGAUUAACGUCGGGAACUCAGAGGAAACUGCCGUCGAAAGGCGGAGGAAGGUGGGGAUGACGUCAAGUCCUCAUGGCCCUUAUGUCCUGGGCUACACACGUGCUACAAUGGCUGGUACAAAGGGUUGCCAAAUCGCAAGGUGGAGCCAAUCCCAAAAAACCAGUCUCAGUUCGGAUUGAAGUCUGAAACUCGACUUCAUGAAGCUGGAAUCGCUAGUAAUCGCGCAUCAGCACGGCGCGGUGAAUACGUUCCCGGGCCUUGUACACACCGCCCGUCACAUCACCCGA